UUUGAACGCUGGCGGCAGGCCUAACACAUGCAAGUCGAGCGGAUGAGGGUAGCUUGCUACCUGAUUCAGCGGCGGACGGGUGAGUAAUGCCUAGGAAUCUGCCUGGUAGUGGGGGACAACGUUUCGAAAGGAACGCUAAUACCGCAUACGUCCUACGGGAGAAAGUGGGGGAUCUUCGGACCUCACGCUAUCAGAUGAGCCUAGGUCGGAUUAGCUAGUUGGUGGGGUAAAGGCUCACCAAGGCGACGAUCCGUAACUGGUCUGAGAGGAUGAUCAGUCACACUGGAACUGAGACACGGUCCAGACUCCUACGGGAGGCAGCAGUGGGGAAUAUUGGACAAUGGGCGCAAGCCUGAUCCAGCCAUGCCGCGUGUGUGAAGAAGGUCUUCGGAUUGUAAAGCACUUUAAGUUGGGAGGAAGGGCAGUAAGUUAAUACCUUGCUGUUUUGACGUUACCGACAGAAUAAGCACCGGCUAACUCUGUGCCAGCAGCC
rnacentral:rRNA from 1 species